rnacentral:lncRNA from 10 species
UGCCUCUCUCCCUCCUACAUGGGGCAGCAAGUCCCCGGCAGCCUGGAUGCUAUUCAAGCUCCACAAGCCCACAAAUAAGCAUUUUCAUCACACAGAUGUUAGGCAUGGCCCAUUAAAAGAAGUGAGACGAUGCCAUUGCAAUUUAACCCAGGGAAGAAAAAGAACGCGUAAAAAGCCGUAUGGUUUCAUAGAAUAACAAAGAACAUCUGUGUCCAGACUCAUGGGCUGGGUACAUCUCUAAGAACAAAGCCCUCUGCCAGCCUUUCUGGAACAGGAUUGCUGCUUUGAGUCAGAAUGAAGCCAUACGAAUCCCUUUUCCACUGCUGAGACAGAACUCUCUUUUCUGACUAACUCCCUCGUUUGGACAGAGAUCUCUGUAAGGGUCAACUCGUUGGCUCUGGAGUGUCAGGAGGUGAAGCCACUAGGACUCUGUGAAGCUGGACUUUUCAGGACUAGCCCAGAGCCCUGGGCAGAAGUGCAACUGGCCGAGGGUUCCACAGAGACUCAAGAACAAACUUGAGAACAGGUGUGGGGCCAAGACAGUCGCUGGGCACCAUUUGAAACAAGAGGCUACCUGGAAAACAUGCCUUCAGCGGUUUGGCGAGGAGAAACCUGUUUGAAAGGGAUGGAGUCUUGCCUUUGCCAUCACCUGCUCUGGUUCUGUACGGUUUGGUGCUCACUGAGCUCUGUUCUCUUUACAUCUCAUGCUCACAUCUCUUCCUGCUGGUCCAGGAAGCUACUUGCCUCUACAGAGGGUGUCUUCCUGUCUCUCUUUGCUUUGUAAAGUCUCAGAGAGGAGCUAUAAUGAGUCUUGGCAUGGAGAACACAGUGUUUUCUGAACUGUGGCUUGGGAUGCAUUAGUGGGUUGAGAAAUCAGUUUUGUGGGCUGAAGCCAGCAUUUAAAAUGCAAAGGAAGACGAAGAAACAGAAUGGAAUAGGAAUGAAUGAACUGAAUUGAAAAUAUUGGUCUAUUGCAUAUGGAUGUAGAUGUGAUGGUUAAAGAUGCAGCUGCCAUCUUGGAUUAUGAAGUAACCAUGGAUAUGGAAGACACAUAUGAUGAAACAAGGUAGAAGCAGCCUGGGUCCUUGAUGUUACGGCCAACUUACCUCUAGACUUCUUUGAAGCAGAGAAAUAGGCUUGCUUAAGCUACAGGUGACCAAACUGAGGCAUGGGGGUUUAAUAAGCUUACCCAAAACUACACAGCAAGGAGGAGGCUGUGUCGGGAAUCAAACUCAGUCACUGUGGCCCCCAAGUCCAUGCUCAUAACCACCAGGAGAUCUGGUAACACUCGCCGAAACCAGUGCUUCCUGGGACCUAGUUUGGAAAAGCUGGUUGUGAAAUACAUACUGCGGUUCAGCCUCCUCCCGCCUAAGAGCAACAAUGCCUGUGAGCAUAACCUUACCAAGAAGCGUGAAUCAUAUGAUAAUUACAUAUGGCACCCACAUAUCCAGAGGAGAACAGCACGGUGUGAGCCCUCAUCAAAUUGUCCAAGCCAGAAACCUAGGCCUUUUCCUGGAAUGACGUUCCUCCACAGGUCUCUAAUAGGUGGACCCCUGCAGCAUUCACCCAGCUUUUUCACUGCGCCUGAAUAGAAGAUGCCCUUUCAGGCCAGGCGCAGUGGCUCACACCUGUAAUCCCAGCACUUUGGGAGGCCGAGGCGGGUGGAUCACGAGGUCAAGAGAUCGAGACCAUCCUGGCCAACAUGGUGAAACCCCGUCUCUAAUAAAAAUAAAAAUAAAAAAAAUUAGCUGGGUGUGGUGGUGCAUGCCUUGUAGUCCCAGCUGCUCGGGAGGCUGAGGCAGAAGAAUUGCUUCAACCCAGGAGAUGGAGGUUGCAGUGAGCCAAGAUCGCACCACUGCACUCCAGCCUGGUGACCCAGAAAGACUUCAUCUAAAAAAAAAGUUGCCCUUUCAUAACUGUUACCUCUGGACGUACUCUUUCUAGAAAGUCCUGCCCUUCGCUGUGCUAUCCCUGAAGAUCAGCACAAAUGUCAUCUCCAAGAGGAAGCCUGGAGCACCCACCAUCACCAUCACCACCCACAGAUGGACAAAAUUACCAAUAGUCUCCUCUCUCAGGUUUCCCAUAUAAUUACCUUUAUUACACUUAACAUAAAUAAGAUAGCCUCUCCACCUCUUUUUUUCAGUUAAAUGAUCCAACCAACUAAACUUUAAUUCAAUCGACUAUCGUUUGGCCACAAAUACUAUAUUCACUCUUUCUCUAAUCGAAUCAGAACUUGAAUGUCAAUAUCAUCCCUAAACCUUAUCAUCCACCCUCCCAUUAUCCAGCAUCCACCUCCUGAACUCAGUCACGGCCUCCAAAUACUAUAGCCAGCUCCCAGAAUUAAAAGGUUGAGCCUCAAAUUCUCAGAAAAGUUUAACAAGAAAAACAACUAGAAAGAAGGAGAUUUAUCCUAAAAGUCUGAUAUACUGUUCUGUAGAAUUUUCCCCUAAGUUCCAAGAUGAUAACUUCCUCUUUCAGCCUUAAUUCUCAGCGAAAAUACCCACAAAACUAAAAGCUACUGCUUUAAGCUCUUAAAUUUUAUCAGCAAAAUGAGGCUGAGGACCCGAGCCCACGCAAAUGGUGAAACUUUAAGAAAGAAGAAUAAAUAGAACAAAAAAGAAUGAUUGUUCUAGUUAUUCUUCCCUGAUUGAGACAUUAUGGUUUGUUUUUCCAAUAGGUUUUGUCAUAAAGGAGGAAAUAGGCAUAUUACAGAAAAGUUUGAAAAGAAAUGUAAAUAAAUAAAAAGUUCACUCAACAUGAACACAUAAGUAACAUAACUAUUAAUGUUUGCAAGUUCCCUUCCAAUAUUUUAUGUGCACAUAGAUCUGUAUAUAUUUAGCAAUUUUAAUCAAACUUUGCAUCCCAUUUGAUGACUUUUUUUCCAUUUAAGUUUUUUUUUCUGUUUUUGUUUUUGAGACGGAGUCUGGCUCUGUCUUCCAGGCUGGAGUAGUGCAAUGGUGCGAUCUCGGCCCACUGCAACCUCCGCCGGCUGGGUUCAAGUGAUUCUCC